UGUCUCUGUGCUCUACUGGGAACUCGUGUGCUGGGAUGAGUUUAAUAGGCAGUGUGACUUCCUAUUACUGGGAUGGAGGAUUCCUGACACUCUUCAAGUCAAAGCUGAGAUGUGCCCCUCUUUACAGGAUAGUUAAGGACGGCCUAGGAAAUGAGCACCCAGGUGCUUCUUGGGCAAAGCUUGCUUUCCAGUCCUGUUUGAGUUUGAGAUUCGUUGCUGCCACUGGGUCCAGGCUAGGUGAGCUGGGGAAUCCCAGUGAGAGUCACCACCCUUGGCUUCCCCUCAGGUGUCUUCUGCUGUGGGCCAUCGCCACUGGCUGCCAUCUGCAAAGAUGACAUCUUUAUAGUCUAUGACACCAGAUUCGUCUUCUCAGAAGUGAAUGGUGACAGGCUCAUCUGGUUGGUGAAGACAGUGAAUGGGCAGGAAGAGUUACACUUAAUAUCGAUGGAGACCGCAAACAUCGGGAAAAACAUCAGCACCAAGGCAGUGGGCCAAGGUAGGCGGAGAGAUGUCAUCUACGAGUACAAGUACCCAGAAGGUGGCCAGCAUCACAGUGCUCCUUCUAACCCAGCCCCUGAGUCACCCAGACCAUGAAAAUAGUCAAGAUCAAGGGCUCCCCUGAGGAGAGGCAGGUCAUGGAUCAUGCCUUCCUCCUUUUCAGUUCUGAGAGGGAGCACAGAACACAUAUAAAAUAGAACUUUCUUCACAUGUCGGUACCGUCAGAAGAUGCGCUGCUGGGAAACCCUGUUAAUUUCACUGUGAUUCUCAAAAGGAAGACUGCUGCCCUACAGAAUGUCAACAUCUCGGGCUCCUUUGAACUACAAUUGUACACUGGCAAGAGGGUGGCAAAACUGUGUACCCUCAAGAAGACCUCACAGAUCCAAGGUCAAGUAUCGGAAGUGACUCUGACCUUGGACUCCAAGACCUACAUCAACAGCCUGGCUAUAUUUGAUGAUGAGCCAGUUAUCAGAGGUUUCUUCAUUGCGGAAAUUGUGGAGUCUAAGGAAAUCAUGGCCUCCCAAGUAUUCCUGUCUUUCCAGUACCCUGAGUUCUCUAUAGAGUUGCCUAACACAGGCAGAGUUGGCCAGCUACUUGUCUGCAAUUGUAUCUUCAAGAAUACCCUGGCCAUCCCUUUGACUGAUGUCAAGUUCUCUUUGGAAAGCCUGGGCAUCUCCUCACCACAGAUGUCUGACCACGGCGUCCUGAGGCUGCACCUUCAAUCACUGACUUUCUUCUCCACUCAACUGGGGCCACAGGCCCGCUGGGGCCAGGACUCAUGACCUUUUGUCUGGAGCUGGAAGAGGGGCCCUGACACUGAGGUUUUGCACG
rnacentral:lncRNA from 1 species